ACUGGAGACAGAUGUGAAGAUGUGGAACUUUCUAAGUCUACCACACCUGUUUAAAAGGAAAACCCUCAUUCUAAUGUUCAUCAUAUGACACCUAAAAUGUAAAAGAUCCAGUUGGUGAAGUUUAGUCAUUUUCAUCAACCAAAAGCUGAACAUUUUUCAAAUAAUGUGUGGUCUUUCAUACGAUACGAGACGAUACGAUACGAUACGAUACGAUACGAUACAAUAUGAUACGAUACAAUACAACUUUUAUUGUCAGCCAGGGUUGAAAUUCUUUUUGCAUCCCUGGGUAGCUCAUAUAAGAAAGAGGACAUAGACAUACAUACAGACAUACAUAAGAUGAAUAACACAUACAUGAAACAUUACCACAAAUGACAUAAACACACAAGUAAGGAAACAAAGCAUACAUGUAUAACAACAGAAAAUGACAUGAACAUACGCACAGACAAGGUCUUGGAGACUUGUAACCCUGAAUAAAUAUUGCACUGGAUUUAAUGUAGCUGGUUUAACAAUAGGAUAGAUUGAUGUAUGAAAGAGGUAGUUCAUGGUCAAAGAAUAUGAGUUAGAGAACCUAAAAGAAAUGCUUCUUUAACUGAAAUCGCAGUCUUCUAUGUGCUGUACUGCUCCGAUGAGAGGAAUCAUUUAUUCUAAUGAGGGACAGAUGCUUCCCGAUCACAUAGAAGGGGUCAGAAGCGACUUCUGCAAUGGCUGCCUCUGUAUUCCAUCCGUGCAAAACUACACAGCCCAGCACUGUGUGUGAAACAUAAACCUAUACAGACUUAGACUUAGAGUUCCCCUUCGUUUGCUCUGAAGCGUACAAAUGUUUUCUUUGGCCUCCUCAGCUCUGCCCACAUGGCAGCAGAGUGGAGAGGUUUCCCACCAAAACACAUGGCAGUGAAGGCAGCACAGAGUAGCAGAAGAAGAGUGGAAGAUCAUGGCUGUCUAUUCAGUGUUUCAAAUUUGUCUUUAGUUAUCAAACGUAAUGGUCUCAAAACUUCUGCCAAAGGAUUUUUUCAGCUUGUUUCAUUGCAGUUAGGACUACUUAAUUAAGUAAAAUGCACGAUCUUUCAACCUAAAUCAAAACACAGAAAUCAUCAAAACUGGUGUGGACUUCCUGUCUGGUGUCUUGUAAUAUCAGGACUGCAGAUAAUUGGUUGCCUUUACAGAAGGAAAAAAUUCGUUUUCCUCUCCACUCUUUUCAGUGACCUGUUUUUUUUUUUUUUUUUUUUAUCCACCUCAAAGUCUUUUUUUCCAGGGAUCAGUGUUUUGAUUGGGUGCGGUGUUUUGUUCCAUGUGUUGGAACGAUCUUAUGUGACUGAGUUUUCAGCAUGUUCGGUCAUCUGCCAUCUCUGUGGUUACAGUUGGAACACACAAACAGGCUUUAAAAUAGUCCAAUAUACUCCUCCUGCCCCUUCCCUUUCUUUAUGUAACUUUUUUUCCCCCCAUAUUUUGUUCGACUACAACACUAUUGAUGCUGCUGUCUUGACUGGGUCACUGAUACUUAGGUUUACAUUUCAUAUUAGAGAUUAUAGAAAUGCAUUUAAUAAAACCACAAGAAUCCCAAAGAUGAAUUGCA